UCAAAUUGGCUCUGAAUAUAUUAAUAUCAUAAGUUCUAACCCUGACUUGGUAUCUGAAAUCCAAAUUGUGACCUUACCAUCAAUGUGUUAGAUUUAAUUAGGAAGUAAAAGAUGUGGGCUCUUGUUAGAAAAUGCCAUCUUCUUAAGAUAGAAAAUCUAAAGGACAUUAUUACAAACCUAAAAACUUACAAAGAAACAGAAAUGUUCUGUGACCAGAGCUGGUUGCCGCUAAUAAUCCCAUUUGCUCAGGAAGACAAAGAAAAACUAGAGUGGUUUGAAAAGGGUACUUCAGUCAUUCUAUAAAAUUCAUAAACAGUGGAAGAUUGGUAAAGGAAAUAAGGGCAGGGUAAGCUGAAGGAAGAUAUUAUUUAUUUAUUUUAAGAAACAGUGUAAAGGAAAAUCAUAUCUCUUGAAGACAGAGAUCAACGUACAAGGGAAACAAAAGAAAUGCUCGGGUUCUAACUUCUCUUAAGGAGGGAAAGAUACCAUAUUUUUGUUGUUACUAGAUUAGAAGUGGUGAAUGGAACUCAGAGAAUUCAGAAAGCUAGAAUGGUUCCCCCAAGAAAGCCCAAGUCACCGAGAGGCAACUCUACACCCGUAGGACCUCCCUUGAAGCAACUGGAGAACCACUCCUUAAAGUGGACGGCAGGACCGGUGGUUACAAAGAACCUGGACAGACUUGAUAGAGUGAGGCUCCUGAGAGAUUGGCCAUUGAAUUAUUGUGACUUCUGAGGCUUUGGAAGCUCCAAACCCACUCGAGAGAGAGACUGGUGGAGUUGCUGAAGGAAUCCCAACUCUACCUACACAGAAAAUCCUGCUACCUGAGCCUAAGGACAAUAAAACACAAAGAGUGAAGAGUGGUGCAAAGAGAGAUCUAUUUUGUUGGAAAAGUCAAGUCACGUGACACCUCAAAGAUGGCAAAAUAAGAAAUAGCUGACAUAAUGUUUCUAAAUAUACAACAUUGUGCAACAGCUACCUGGAGCAAAAGCAGAAAGGUUGAGAAGGCAAAAUAAUGACUUUUAGCUGCUGGAAGGCGUCCACAUUCAACAGCCUGUCAGGAAGGGAGACAGUCCUCCGAAACCAAACAGAAGGCAGAGGAGGUUUCUGGAGUCAAACGCACGUGGGAGUACACAAGCAACAUCGGGGUGGCUCUCUUCACUUGACACAGAACAUUUGGCUCUGACAGCUCCCCCGGCCCUGAGAUUCUGUAAGUGGCUGAAUCGGAAAGGGAGGUGCUGCUACUACAGGCAAUGAAGAGGAGGAGCCCUCAUUAGUGCAGGAAGGUCGUCACCUUGGAGAGUUCAGUCAUCUCUGCUUGUCACAAAACUCUGAAGAAUUUGUGAAAUCAGAAAAGGAAGUUUCUGCACAUCCUUCUCUCAGCUUCCCCCAAUGUUAGCAUCUCAUAUAACCAUAGUGCGUUAUCAAAAUCACAAACUGACAUGGGUAUAAUACUAUUAACUGAACUACAUACCUAAUUCCGAUUUCACCCAUUUUUUACAUGCAAACGCGUUUUGGGGGUGCAUAGUUCUCUGAAACUUUAUCACAUACGUAGAUUCAUGUAACUUGCACAACAAUCAGGAUGCACAACUGUUAUGGACUAAGCGUUGGUGCCCCCCAGCAAAUUCGUAUGUUGAAACCCUAAUCCCCAAUGUGAUGGUAUUUGGAUGUGAGGUCUUUAGGCGGUGAUUAGAUCAUGAGGGUGGGGCCCCUGUGAUGGGAUUAGUGUCCCCAUAAGAAGACAUGGAAGAGGUAUUGCUUCCUUUCUGUGCCUGCCACAUGAGGAUUCAAGGAGAAGACGCUGUCUGCAAAAUAGGAAGCUGGACCUCACUGGACACCGAACCUGCUGGUGCCUAGAUCUUGGACUUUCCAGCCUCCAGAACUGUGAGAAAUGUUUGUUGUAUAAGCCACUCAGUCUCUGGUGUUUUUGAAAUAGCAGCCCUCACUGACUAAGACAGUCACUGUUCUAUCGCCACAAAGAAACUCCACUGGGCUCUUCCUUUGUGGUCACACCUUCUUCCCAAUCCUAACCUCUGGCGAUGAUUCAUCUAUUUUUCAUGAAUAUCAUUUUGUCAUUUUAAGAAUAUUUUAUAAGUGGGAUCAUAUAGGAUGUAUUUUGGUUGACUUUUUUCA